GUGGGGAAUAUUGGACAAUGGGGGGAACCCUGAUCCAGCCAUGCCGCGUGUGUGAAGAAGGCCUUUUGGUUGUAAAGCACUUUAAGCGAGGAGGAGGCUACCGAGAUUAAUACUCUUGGAUAGUGGACGUUACUCGCAGAAUAAGCACCGGCUAACUCUGUGCCAGCAGCCGCGGUAAUACAGAGGGUGCAAGCGUUAAUCGGAUUUACUGGGCGUAAAGCGCGCGUAGGUGGCCAAUUAAGUCAAAUGUGAAAUCCCCGAGCUUAACUUGGGAAUUGCAUUCGAUACUGGUUGGCUAGAGUAUGGGAGAGGAUGGUAGAAUUCCAGGUGUAGCGGUGAAAUGCGUAGAGAUCUGGAGGAAUACCGAUGGCGAAGGCAGCCAUCUGGCCUAAUACUGACACUGAGGUGCGAAAGCAUGGGGAGCAAACAGGAUUAGAUAUCCGUGUAGUCC
rnacentral:rRNA from 1 species